AGGGACACCAACAGCUGAGUAACUCUGCUAAUGGUCAUGUUAAAGCUGGUGAAAUGCAUGGAAAUGUCAGUGCUGCAAAACCUGGUUUAACUAAUUUGGAUAGUGCAAAUCAGGCGAUAGAGCGCCCAAAAUUGAACUUGAAGCCACGAUCACAGCCUCUUGAACAAUCAGAAGGGAACACAAAAAUGGGAAGGUUUGGAUUAUUUGGUGGUGCUCGUCCACGUGAAGUGGUUCUGAAGGAGCGAGGAAUUGACA
rnacentral:misc_RNA from 1 species